rnacentral:piRNA from 1 species
UGGUGAUCGAUCUGUCAAACUGAAUGACC